rnacentral:lncRNA from 7 species
GAAAACCUUAGCAGGCCAGAAUGGAACGGUCUUUUUGAUCUUAAUAAGGAUGACUUUGGAAAGCUUGGGAAAAGUGGCAACAGUCAGAAACUGCGGAGCCAAACUCUGAACUCUGCUGUUGGGACAUAUGGUGUAAUCCAGUGGAUGCAUUGUUGUUCAUAUGUAAUUGUGAGAAUCUUUAAGACAGCUCACGUGUUUAGAAACCCUGCUCAGAAACCAGAAGCCCUUGUACCUGUUCCCACAAAGACUGCGUAUUCUAGCUUGUUUGGCAGCUCUAUUACUUGUCUUUCUAAUGCAAGAAACAUGACAGGCCAAUUGUCUGAAGUCAUUUUGAAAGGAAAAUGAGCUUCAUUGCAUUUUUCCUGAAUAUCAUUCUUGUGUUGGUAUUUUUUUCACCUGACUGAAACACACUUAGCCAUGGAUCUGUGGAAGUGAUGGUACAAUGAAGACUUUGCAGUGUGUCAUUGCUCGGUUUUCUCUACUCCAGUUUUGAAAGGAGAGAAGUCUAGACAUCCAGUUCAUUACAUCCUGUAGAUGUCUUUGGAUCAGUUUCCAAGAGAAAAAUAUACCUUUGUAGAAUCAUAGAAAUGAACAGCUGGAGUGAUCUCAGAAGUUCAACUUCCUUCCCUGGACAAGGUGAGAUUAAUAGGAAGUAUAAAAGAAAAUAAAGAAGUAGCAGAAUGGAGCUCUGGAAAAGACUGGAAAACAUGCUAGUAGUGGUUAUUUGUUUCAUUGUAAUCUAUUGUGUGUGUGUUAAUACUGUUUUUACUCCACUGGAACUUCAGAAGGAGACGCUUGGGAUCUGUUAUAAAGGAAGGCAGACAGGAAAAAAGCCUAGCCUUGCAAACGUCUACCAAUUUAUUUUUGACAGGGAAGUAAAGUACAAUUAUUUUUUUAAAUAAUCUUGGCAGAGGUAGGAGGAAUAGAGUUUGUACAUAGUCUGUUAAAUCUUGAUGACAAUACUGGAAGGCUGAGCAGGCCAUGUUCUCUCUGCAUGAUAACUACUAAUAGAAGCAAUAUUGUGUUUGAUGUGGAACAGAGCCAUUAUCAUUGGGAAAUUAUGUGCAUUUGAGUGUGCUGGUAGGGAAGGAUGGAGAGAGAGAGCUGAGGAAGAGCAAAAGUGUGAGUCUAGAAAGAGCAAGUCAGAUUGUGGAGUUAUCGUUUGAGCUUUGUGUAAUUGUGAAUUAUUAUUAUUAUUAUUAUUUUUCAUUUUUAGGCUAAAUUGAGUUGGUGAUGUACAGAGUGUUCACAUUUUCUUUGCUAAAGGAAUACUCAGAAUAGGAAAUUCAGACAGAAAUUGAAUUUAGUAACUUUCCCUUUGUGAUGAUGAUUAGAAUCAUGUACUGGCAGUCCACCACUUAGGCUACCACUCAGAACUGCAUGUAUUAUAUACAGCAUUAGAGACUGGGAAGUAGAAAAUUGAAUUAAAAAUUUCAGAUUUGAGAUUUGUAAACCUUUGUUUCUGGUGUUUCCUGAUGCUGCAGAAGUAAGACGGUUCUCUGUUAUCAAGUAACAAUCUUAAAUAGGAGAAAUUACUAUGAGAAUAUGUAAGAUCUAAUAUCAGCUUUAAGAAUAAUAUUGAUCUAAAUAUUGAUUUAAAUUCAUUGGAAAACUUACAAAAAUGGAAAAUAAUUCAAACACAUCGAGAAGUAAAGCUGUUGAUAGUAUUUGAGACU